rnacentral:tRNA from 1 species
CCCGAAAGGGUAGUUGAGAUGGUUAAAACGUAGAGAGCAAAACACUUCCUGGCUGUAACCCUUUUUUAAUGAAUGCUAUUCCCUCCGUUAACUCUCCCUUUAGGGGGUGGGGGGCUAAGGUGCCGUAAAUGCGCGCUACUUCGAGUCGCCGGUUCGAUUCCGGCUCCCGGAA